AAAACCAAUAGCAGCCCUUUCUCCCACCAUUUUCUUCAUUUUCAUCUAUGCUAGGGUUUCAAAGAAACCCAUUUCGCUGCCGCCAUGAAGCCACCGUAGGUGGUGGUCGGGGCUACGCGAAAGGGGUCUUUUGACCCUGAUUUUGGAGCACCCGAAGGCGAUAUUCUCCUUAGCCCAAGAAGACCAAAAGAAGAAGGUCCCCUCCUUCUCCCUUUCGAGUCCGUUUCCGACGACGGAGAUGAACUCCGACGACGCGACCCUCGGGAUCCUGGUAAGUUCCCUCUUCCCCUCUUCUUUAUAUUUUUAUCCAAGAAAGAAGUAAAAAAAAGGAAAAUAAAUAACGAGAAAGGGGAAAAACCGAAAAAAAGCACAAGUAAUAGGAUUCCAAAUUAACCUUUUGCUUUUUUUAUUCUUAAUGCUCUGUGCUACCACUUUCUUUUAAAAAAACCUCCUUUUUAAAAAAAAAAAUCGGUCCCCUUUCGUUCGAUUUCCUUUUCGACUUUAUAGCCGAUUACAAAAGAAAUAUUUUUUAAUCUCUGCUAUUGCUUGCUGCUUCUGCUCUGUUUUGCUUCUCUUUUGCGUGCUUUCUGCUCUCUGUUUGUUUUGCAGGUGAUGGGAUGAUGGGACGGAGGCAGUGCAAGUGGAGGCAAGUGGCCCUAGGGUUUGCUGCUUCUGUUUUUUUUUUUCUGCUGGUGGUUUGGGCUUGUUUGUAAUCGGGUCUGGGUCUUUGGGGUUAGUUUUGGGCUUGGGUAUAUUGGGCUGAUUUAGGCCUGGUCAAAAUUGGACCGGUACAACCACUUUUCAGUUUUUUAUAAUAAUUCCUAGGUUCUAAACUGAAUUUAUUUCAGUAAACAGGUUUCAAUUUCAUAUUAUGAUUAUCUUAUGCUUAAUUUUAAUUAUAGUAAUACCAUUUAAUAGGUUUCAAUUUCAUAC
rnacentral:lncRNA from 1 species